ACCGAUUGACAGCUGGUUUUGCAACAGUAACUUACACAGUCAAAAAUGGAACUACCGGUUAAUCCCCAUUAGCCGUAAGGACACAAGUAUCAUUAAUGGAUAAACCGUUAAAUUAUAACAAGAGGACAUCACAGACAUUUCUAAUGGAUUCCAGAAAGACGACAGUUGUAUACUGAAUAGUGCACUGGAGGUAACAACAAGGUUCCAAGUGUAAAAUAUACCUCUACAGAUGUGUCCUCAUACCCUGUGGCUUCAGUCGUGCCCAACUGCCCCGCUUGGCGCUCUAGGUCCUGGGUGCCUCAGCCGUGCUAAUUAUCUUUCUCGCUCAAAAUGUGCAUUUUAUUUGCAUACAUAAGACAGCUGGAAGUGACCAAGCUACCUUGCUGGAUUACACUGAUCAAUCUGAUGUGUGACACUUUUACAUCUGUGUGCGAAUGAGUCUGAAUCUGUAUACAGUACGAAGUGUUACGAUGCCGCCACUGUGGCUUUUUCUUAUGCUAAGUUUCGUUAUGAUUCAUCUGCAACUUUGUACAUACAACUAAUUCCUAUGCAGCCCAGCGCGCCUACGAUACUCCGAGUAGUGUUUUGCUGCGUAUGUGAUGAAAACUAAAGGAAAAUACAGUAUGCUAUAUCUCUCUGGACCAGUUCAAUCAUACCGGGCAACUCAUGGCAUAUUGAUGCUCGGCGUUUGAGGACACAACUGUACCUAAACAGGAGGCAAAGUUGACAAAACGUGAACAACUGGAGUUCUUAUGAAAAUAGUAGUGUAUAGCUCUGCAUACAUUUAGAGCCACAUUGAAUUGGAAUAGAUGGGUUUAAGUUUACAGUCUCAUUUGCACAACCAUCAGGCCUCACUUUAUAAUGUCUCUUGCUCUGUUCACAUAACUCAGCCUGAAACAUGAUACCCAAAUUAUGAUCACUGAUCGCUAAUAAAUGAGAAGUUAAGAAAA